UACGUAGGGUGCGAGCGUUGUCCGGAAUUAUUGGGCGUAAAGAGCUCGUAGGCGGUUUGUCGCGUCGACUGUGAAAACCCGAGGCUUAACCUCGGGCCUGCAGUCGAUACGGGCAGACUAGAGUUCGGUAGGGGAGACUGGAAUUCCUGGUGUAGCGGUGAAAUGCGCAGAUAUCAGGAGGAACACCGGUGGCGAAGGCGGGUCUCUGGGCCGGUACUGACGCUGAGGUGCGAAAGCGUGGGGAGCAAACAGG
rnacentral:rRNA from 1 species